CUGGUUAGCACAGUUGGUAGAGCGCUCCACUUGUAAUGGAGAGGUCCCGGGUUCGAUACCCGGACCAG
rnacentral:tRNA from 1 species